rnacentral:rRNA from 1 species
AGAGUUUGAUCAUGGCUCAGGACGAACGCUGGCGGCGUGCCUAACACAUGCAAGUCGAGCGAAGUGACUCGGAGAGAAGUUUUCGGAUGGAUCGAAGAGUCAUCUUAGCGGCGGACGGGUGAGUAACGCGUGAGAAACCUGCCUUUCACAAAGGGAUAGCCUCGGGAAACUGGGAUUAAUACCUUAUGAAACUGAAUUACCGCAUGGUAGAUCAGUCAAAGCGAAUAAGCGGUGAAAGAUGGUCUCGCGUCCUAUUAGCUAGUUGGUGAGGUAACGGCUCACCAAGGCUUCGAUAGGUAGCCGGCCUGAGAGGGUGAACGGCCACACUGGAACUGAGACACGGUCCAGACUCCUACGGGAGGCAGCAGUGGGGAGUAUUGCACAAUGGAGGAAACUCUGAUGCAGCGACGCCGCGUGAAUGAUGAAGGCCUUCGGGUUGUAAAGUUCUGUCCUUGGGGAAGAUAAUGACGGUACCCAAGGAGGAAGCCCCGGCUAACUACGUGCCAGCAGCCGCGGUAAUACGUAGGGGGCGAGCGUUGUCCGGAAUUAUUGGGCGUAAAGGGUUCGCAGGCGGUCUGAUAAGUCAGAUGUGAAAGGCGUAGGCUCAACCUACGUAAGCAUUUGAAACUGUCAGACUUGAGUUAAGGAGAGGAAAGUGGAAUUCCUAGUGUAGCGGUGAAAUGCGUAGAUAUUAGGAGGAAUACCAGUGGCGAAGGCGACUUUCUGGACUUAUACUGACGCUGAGGAACGAAAGCGUGGGGAGCAAACAGGAUUAGAUACCCUGGUAGUCCACGCCGUAAACGAUGAGUGCUAGGUGUUGGGGGUCAAACCUCGGUGCCGCAGCUAACGCAUUAAGCACUCCGCCUGGGGAGUACGUACGCAAGUAUGAAACUCAAAUGAAUUGACGG